rnacentral:piRNA from 6 species
GGUUUCGUACGUAGCAGAGCAGCUCCCUC